GACGGAGGAUGCAAGCGUUAUCCGGAAUGAUUGGGCGUAAAGCGUCCGCAGGUGGCAGUUCAAGUCUGCUGUCAAAGACCGGGGCUUAACUUCGGAAAGGCAGUGGAAACUGAACAGCUAGAGUAUGGUAGGGGCAGAGGGAAUUCCUGGUGUAGCGGUGAAAUGCGUAGAUAUCAGGAGGAACACCGGUGGCGAAGGCGGGUCUCUGGGCCGAUACUGACGCUGAGGAGCGAAAGCGUGGGGAGCGAACAGG
rnacentral:rRNA from 1 species